rnacentral:rRNA from 1 species
UCAAUAAGCGGAGGAAAAGAAACUAACAAGGAUUCCCCUAGUAACGGCGAGUGAAGCGGGAUGAGCUCAAAUUUGUAAUCUGGCGGUCUCGCGGCCGUCCGAGUUGUAAUCUGGAGAAGCGUUUUCGGCGCCGGUCCGCGUACAAGUCCCCUGGAACGGGGCGUCGCAGAGGGUGAGAAUCCCGUCUUUGACGCGGUCCGCCGGUGCCGUGCGAUGCGCUCUCGAAGAGUCGAGUUGUUUGGGAAUGCAGCUCAAAACGGGUGGUAAAUUCCAUCUAAAGCUAAAUACUGGCGAAAGACCGAUAGCGAACAAGUACCGUGAGGGAAAGAUGAAAAGCACUUUGGAAAGAGAGUCAAACAGUACGUGAAAUUGUUGAAAGGGAAACGCUUGAAGUCAGUCGCGUCUCUCGGGACUCAGCCGGGUUGGUUCUCGGUGUAUUUCCCGAGUCUGGACGGGCCAGCAUCGGUUUCGACCGUCGUAAAAAGGCGUGAGGAAUGUGGCACCCUUCUGGGUGUGUUAUAGCCUCUCGUCGUAUGCGACGGACGGGACUGAGGAACGCAGCGCGCCCCUUUCGGGGCCGGGGUUCGCCCACGUAACGCGCUUAGGAUGCUGGCGUAAUGGCUUUAA